rnacentral:pre_miRNA from 1 species
GAGGGAAACAGCGCCAAAAGUACGGAGGACAAAGAACGAGGAACACACCGUUCUCGUUCUUUGUCCUCCGUACUUUUGGCGCUGUUUCUAGG